UGCCAUCCAGGGUCUAUAAUCUUAUCUAGUCUAUGGAGGAGAAAAGGAGUAGGGAGGAGGAGAAGGACCAUCUUCCCAGACCAUCAUCUCGCCCCUUGGGAAUUUAAUUUUUUUGUUUUUUGGUAAUGAAAGUGUUUGCAUAGGCUGUAUACCUGGUUAGGUUUUAUCAGUUUGUAUGUGUACUUUGUUUUAUUUUUUUCUAAGUAAUAGAUUUUUGCAAUCCCCCAGUGAGAUAUUAAAUUUAAUAUAAGGAAUGGAAUUUAAUGGAUAAAAAAGAACUCUGAGUAACUUCCAGGUGCACUUGUCAAGCAGAGUCUUGACAAUUGUUUUGGUGUUCCUGGAAAAGAAGAUGAACAUAUUACUAGGACAUCAUGGUAUGGAUUAUGCUAAUGCCAGUGAAUGGAGCAGACUGGAAAAAGCAGGUUAACAGCACAAUGAACAGAUGCAUUUAGUCUCCAAUAAGAUUUCCAGGAUUUCUAUCAGGAUCACAAGAAACCAGAUAGGAGCAAGACCAGGAAAUGAGGGCCCAUACUGCCCAUGAGGGACAUUGCUGCCCUGAAGGACAGAGAUUCAGGAAGACUGUAAGAGGAUCAGCUUUAAUUUCAACUUCUUUA